GGUUCUGGCAUCGAUGAAGAACGCAGCGAAAUGCGAUAAGUAGUGUGAAUUGCAGAAUUCAGUGAAUCAUCGAAUCUUUGAACGCACAUUGCGCCCUUUGGUAUUCCAAAGGGCAUGCCUGUUCGAGCGUCAUUUGUACCCUCAAGCUUUGCUUGGUGUUGGGCGUCUUGUCUCUAGCUUUGCUGGAGACUCGCCUUAAAGUAAUUGGCAGCCGGCCUACUGGUUUCGGAGCGCAGCACAAGUCGCACUCUCUAUCAGCAAAGGUCUAGCAUCCAUUAAGCCUUUUUUUCAACUUUUGACCUCGGAUCAGGUAGGGAUACCCGCUGAACUUAAGCAUAUCAAUAAGCGGAGGAAAAGAAACCAACAGGGAUUGCCCUAGUAACGGCGAGUGAAGCGGCAACAGCUCAAAUUUGAAAUCUGGCUCUUUUAGAGUCCGAGUUGUAAUUUGCAGAGGGCGCUUUGGCUUUGGCAGCGGUCCAAGUUCCUUGGAACAGGACGUCACAGAGGGUGAGAAUCCCGUACGUGGUCGCUGGCUAUUGCCGUGUAAAGCCCCUUCGACGAGUCGAGUUGUUUGGGAAUGCAGCUCUAAAUGGGAGGUACAUUUCUUCUAAAGCUAAAUAUUGGCCAGAGACCGAUAGCGCACAAGUAGAGUGAUCGAAAGAUGAAAAGCACUUUGGAAAGAGAGUCAAACAGCACGUGAAAUUGUUGAAAGGGAAGCGCUUGCAGCCAGACUUGCUUACAGUUGCUCAUCCGGGUUUCUACCCGGUGCACUCUUCUGUAGGCAGGCCAGCAUCAGUUUGGGCGGUAGGAUAAAGGUCUCUGUCACGUACCUCCUUUCGGGGAGGCCUUAUAGGGGAGACGACAUACUACCAGCCUGGACUGAGGUCCGCGCAUCUGCUAGGAUGCUGGCGUAAUGGCUGUAAGCGG
rnacentral:rRNA from 1 species